UACAGAGGUCCCAAGCGUUGUUCGGAUUCACUGGGCGUAAAGGGUGCGUAGGCGGUCGGGUAAGUCCGAUGUGAAAUCCCGGAGCUCAACUCCGGAACGGCAUUGGAUACUAUCCGGCUCGAGGUUGGGAGGGGGGACUGGAAUUCUCGGUGUAGCAGUGAAAUGCGUAGAUAUCGAGAGGAACACCAGUGGCGAAGGCGAGUCCCUGGACCAAUCCUGACGCUGAGGCACGAAAGCCAGGGGAGCAAACGGG
rnacentral:rRNA from 1 species